GCUAGUUAUAGACAGGUCUAUGUUAAUCAAUAAUGAUGAAAUGAAGAACUUUAGUGAUGAAUGUGAAGAAUCACAUCAUAACCAUACGUCCCAGACCUUGGUGUCGCAAAUUGUCAUAUUAAUGUCACAUGAAAGAGUGGAAGCACAAUGUAGAAGAUUGUCAUACAUACAAGCAACAAACGACACAAAUUCAAACUAAGAAGGACCAUAAACACAAUUCUCGCCGUAAAAGAAAGACCAUAGCAAAUUCAUCUAGAAAUGAACAAUGUAG
rnacentral:lncRNA from 1 species